rnacentral:rRNA from 1 species
GACGAACGCUGGCAGCGUGCUUAACACAUGCAAGUCGAACGGAAAGACCCUGCUUUUGUGGGGUGCUCGAGUGGCGAACGGGUGAGUAACACGUGAGUAACCUGCCCUUGACUUUGGGAUAACUUCAGGAAACUGGGGCUAAUACCGGAUAGGAGCUCCUGCUGCAUGGUGGGGGUUGGAAAGUUUCGGCGGUUGGGGAUGGACUCGCGGCUUAUCAGCUUGUUGGUGGGGUAGUGGCUUACCAAGGCUUUGACGGGUAGCCGGCCUGAGAGGGUGACCGGCCACAUUGGGACUGAGAUACGGCCCAGACUCCUACGGGAGGCAGCAGUGGGGAAUAUUGCACAAUGGGCGGAAGCCUGAUGCAGCAACGCCGCGUGCGGGAUGACGGCCUUCGGGUUGUAAACCGCUUUCGCCUGUGACGAAGCGUGAGUGACGGUAAUGGGUAAAGAAGCACCGGCUAACUACGUG